AAAAAAGAGAAACAAAAGCCGGAGCCAGCGACAUCGCUCGAAUUUAUUCAAUCUUGGCGACAAGACUGAGUGUUUGCAGAACCAUAGGAGUAUCGUUGGAAAAGACGAAGACAGGGUAAUGGCUUAAACACACGAAUUGUAUUUAGGAAGACGUGCCGGCCAAACUAUUGCAAGUUUGAUUGUUCAGCAUAAUGUUAGAUUAACAAACUCUUCACCUAUGCACGGUCAUCAGCCCCCGCCAGGUCCUGGCCUGUCAUUUGUGUCACAAGGAAGUACCACACCUGGUCAUGUGUCAGGAAUUGGAGAGAUAACAUCUUACUUAGAAGUAAAUUGAAGGCAGCCAACAAUUGGACGGUGGUGCCAAUCAAUGAAAAGAAGGGAUACACGUACAUGCACUGAGUACACAGAGAUCAUCAAGGAAAAAACCCUUCGAUCAAAGUUCCUUUUUGAUUCAGCUUAUCCAAAGCUGAUUGCCUCUACAAUUGCCCCUUAUAUAUCCACCUGCGGCUAAUGAGGAGCUGCAAUAUCCAAUAGGUCAAGGGCAAGCAACUCGGAAACAAUAUGAAGAUUUACUCAUACAAAUUGGUACAUGGUGUAUGUAACUAUGUUGUUUUAACUAACUUCAACAUACCAUUAUUAUGAAUUAAAAAAUUAACAAAGCUGAAAUCAAUAACUGACUAUGGGUAGGAACAUGUUGUGUGAAUUUGGCAGCAUGGUUUUAUUGGAUGUAUACCACUGAGUAUGAAAGUGCAUGUGUGACCCUGGCUGUUUUUUCAGUCAGUAGAUGACUUUAGUAUUUGAAAUGAUGCUUGAAUUUAUUUGUGUAAUAUGAAGGCGUGACCAAAUGUGUGACAUUAUGGUCGACUGUCCUGUCAUCAUCAUGGUGAUAAAAUGUGAUUUUAAUAAAGUGAACUGCUUAUAAACAUAGGGCAGAAAUAUCAUUGAUAAAAUACUGAUGAACAUAGCAUACAAGUGCCCUGAAAUGACAUGUGAAUAUGUAUUUGAGUUUUAAGUGUGUAAGGUAUUGUGAAUUUUGUUAAUUGUUUUGUUAUAAAAAUAUUGGAUCCAAAGUAUUCAAUCAUAGAUCACUCUGAAAAAGAAGAAUAAGUAAAAACCUUGUCUGGCAAAUAACUACAUAAACAAUGGGCCAAGUUCCAGAUUUUUUUGUCACAAGUCAAGACCAUUAACAGGAAUUGUUGACUCUUAUAGGUGUUAUGUAUCAUGAUUUGUGUUAAGUUUUUUAUGGGAGACCCAUGAUCAAACAUGGUGAAUUAAUUGUUUUGUUAUUACAAUAGAGGAUCCAAAGUAUUUGAUCAUAGGUCACUCUGAAACAGAAGAAUUUGUGAAAACCUUGUCUGGCAAAUAGCUAAAUAAACACUGGGCUCAGCAUUUUCCAGAUUUUUUGUCACAAGUAAAGACUAUGAAAAGGAAUUAUUGACUCUUUUAGGUAUAAGUUACCAUAGUCAAUGUUGAGUGCGUGCUGCACACCACAUUUGUUUAUGUUCCAUUAACAAUGACAUCAAAGCACAAUGCUAUAUAUAGAUUAUGUAUUGUUUUCCAUUGUUUAUCAGUCUAUAAACAACCAUUUAUUGUAAUAGCCUUACAUAAACUGUCAUAAAGAUGAUAAAGUGCUGUUAAUCCAUAAAUAAAAAAUUGGUGGAAUUCAGAAAUAAUUUGAUCUGUCAAAUGUUGAAAG